rnacentral:rRNA from 1 species
AUGUUUGAAUUAGAAUGUGAUGCUAGCGGCAUUGGUUUAGGCGGUGUUUUACUGCAAGAAGGCAAACCGGUAGCAUAUUUUAGUGAAAAACUCAGUGGGCCUAGUUUAAAUUAUUCAACAUAUGAUAAAGAACUUUAUGCACUAGUUCGGACUUUGGAGACAUUGCAACAUUAUUUAUGGCCUAAGGAGUUUGUCAUACAUUCUGAUCAUGAAUCACUCAAGCAUAUUAGAAGUCAAAGCAAACUGAACCGUAGACAUGCAAAAUGGGUUGAAUUUAUUGAGUCUUUUCCUUAUGUUAUUAAGCACAAGAAAGGGAAGGAGAUUGUUAUUGCCGAUGCAUUGUCUAGGCGCUAUACCAUGUUAUCACAACUUGACUUCAAAAUUUUUGGACUUGAAACUAUAAAAGAGCAAUAUGCUAAUGAUGUCGAUUUUAAAGAUAUUUUGCUCAAUUGCAGAGAGGGUAGAACUUGGAACAAGUUCGUCGUUAAUGACGGAUUUGUUUUUCGUGCUAAUAAGCUAUGCAUCCCAGAUAGCUCUGUUCGUCUUUUGUUGUUACCGGAGGCACAUGGCGGAGGACUUAUGGGACAUUUCGGUGUUAAAAAGACAGAAGACAUCCUUGCUGGUCAUUUCAUCUAG